AUUGAACGCUGGCGGCAGGCCUAACACAUGCAAGUCGAGCGGAUGAAGGGAGCUUGCUCCUGGAUUCAGCGGCGGACGGGUGAGUAAUGCCUAGGAAUCUGCCUGGUAGUGGGGGAUAACGUCCGGAAACGGGCGCUAAUACCGCAUACGUCCUGAGGGAGAAAGUGGGGGAUCUUCGGACCUCACGCUAUCAGAUGAGCCUAGGUCGGAUUAGCUAGUUGGUGGGGUAAAGGCCUACCAAGGCGACGAUCCGUAACUGGUCUGAGAGGAUGAUCAGUCACACUGGAACUGAGACACGGUCCAGACUCCUACGGGAGGCAGCAGUGGGGAAUAUUGGGCAAUGGGCGAAAGCCUGAUCCAGCCAUGCCGCGUGUGUGAAGAAGGUCUUCGGAUUGUAAAGCACUUUAAGUUGGGAGGAAGGGCAGUAAGUUAAUACCUUGCCGUUUUGACGUUACCAACAGAAUAAGCACCGGCUAACUUCGUG
rnacentral:rRNA from 1 species